GCUGCUUUUCCUGGUCGCUGUGUUUCUCAUGAUACCGCUUAUUCACGGUGUUAUGCUUACCAUGCAGUUUUAAGGUUUACUUUCAGGCUUUUCUUCGAGUCCCGCCGACCUUCCAGGAGGAGUCCAUGGAGCGCCGCACAUUAUUCUGGACAUAGUGUGUGUGAGCGCGUAUUUUUCAUUUCCAUAUUUUUAACAAGCGGCUUUAGCACCUAUUCAGAUACACCAGGGCAGGCGGAUGUCCCGUUCCUGAACGAGCUGUGCAUCGAAGGCAGUCCAGUCCCAGUCCACGGUGGAGAUGACGUUGAACACCACCCUUCCUGUGGCAGUGUCGGCAGCACUUCCACAUUCAACCGCCGAUACUCCUGUCAGCAGGAGGGACUUCAAUAAGCGCCAUAUGCUUUUCUGCGUCUGUCUUCCGCUGCUACCCGGGACAUGGAGCUGGCUCCUGCAGAUUGGGUCCAAUGUGUACGUUCUUGAGGUCUCCCGGGCAUCACACGCCACAUGACCGAACUUACUGCCAUCUUUGCACUGCCUCGCUGAUGGCGUCAUCGAGGGAGACUGCACGUUGCCUCUACUCGUGGAAUUCUGUUGCCUCACCGCGCCCGCCUUCCUUUUCUACCCGUGACAAGAUGGAGCUGGCUCCUGCAGUUUGGUUCUAAUGUAGACGUUCCUGAGGUCCCCGGGGCAGCACACAUCACAUUACAGAACUUACUGCCACCUUCGCACUGCUUCGCUGAUGGCGUCAUCGAGGGAGACUGCACAUCGCUUCUACUCGUGAAAUUUUGUGCUUCCCAGAGUCCAUGGCUACCUGUGACAAAGACAUGGAGCUGGCUCCAGCAGAUUGGUUCUAACGCCAACGUUCCUGUGGUCCUCGGGGCACCACUCGUCGUAUGGCCGAACUUAUUGCCACCUUCGCACUGCUUCACUGACGGCGACAUCCAGGGAGAUGAGACGUGGCCACUACCUUUGCAGACGGCUCCCAGCGUGUUCUGGCGUGUGGCGCGCUACAGAAGAUUGGUCCAGCCCGCUCAUUGACAUCAGUAACGUCCGUGGCAUUU
rnacentral:misc_RNA from 1 species